rnacentral:rRNA from 1 species
GUGCCAGCAGCCGCGGUAAUACGUAGGGUGCAAGCGUUGUCCGGAAUUAUUGGGCGUAAAGAGCUCGUAGGCGGUUUGUCGCGUCUGCUGUGAAAACCCGAGGCUCAACCUCGGGCCUGCAGUGGGUACGGGCAGACUAGAGUGCGGUAGGGGAGAUUGGAAUUCCUGGUGUAGCGGUGGAAUGCGCAGAUAUCAGGAGGAACACCAAUGGCGAAGGCAGAUUCUGGCCGUAACUGACGCUGAGGAGCGAAAGCAUGGGGAGCGAACAGGAUUAGAUACCUGGUAGUCC